ACAAAAAAGUAAAAUUUACAUUUAGUUUCGACCUAAAAUUAAAGAAUAAAAUCUUUAUGUU
rnacentral:tRNA from 1 species